CAGGAUGCAUGUUGUGGACUCUCAGCUUAUGAGCUCCAACGCCUGAAGAACAUCGGGGAGAGGGAAGCCUUCUUGUCGUCCUUGAUGUUAUUGCAAGCAGCUGAGGAUCUGAGGCAGACUAUAAAGCCAAAGCCGGAUGUGAAGAGGUCAAAGGCUUCGUUGGAUAAAGUGCAGUCUCUUCUGUCUUCCCGGAAAUCCUUGCGUCUUAAGGAAGCACAAAACCUUAGCCUCAGAGUAGGACGAACCUAUGAACAUGUAAGUUAGUCUCUUAUGUUUCAUGUGCACCAUUAAAUAUUCACUAAAUUAAAG